rnacentral:pre_miRNA from 1 species
UGUCCUCAGGCCCACGGUGCAGUGCUGCAUCUCUGGUCAACUGGGAGUCUGAGAUGAAGCACUGUAGCUCGGGAAUGGGGGAGU